rnacentral:misc_RNA from 1 species
AACGCCCCCCUGAGCCGCUGUCGAGCUCAUCACGCAUCACGACGAGAUCGGGAAU